AUGGACAAGAUCCUGAAGUCAUCAUUGUUAGUCCUGGCCCUUCCCCUAGCCUGGGUGAGUGGCCAGCAACAGGACAGACGUGACCAGCAGCAAGUGAGACAAAGUCCCCAAUCUCUGACAGUCUCGGCAGGAGGGACGUCAGUUCUGAACUGCACUUAUGAGGACAGCAGGUUUGACUACUUCCCAUGGUACCGGCAGUUCCCUGGUGAAGGCCCUACACUUCUGAUAGCCAUACGAUCCGUGUCGAAUAAAAAGGAAGAUGGAAGGUUCACAGUCUUCUUCAGGAAAAGUGAUAAACAGUUCUCCUUGCACAUCACAGAUUCUCAGCCUGGAGACUCAGCCACCUACUUCUGUGCAGCAGGAACACAGUGA